CUUACACUAAAAAGUUGACUGCACCUGUGACGUUGGGGCGGAGAGGAGGCGGCUAUUUCUACGCUCAGUGCUCAGAACAGUGGGCACUAAGAAUGGUUUGUAGCCGGACAUCC